UCUUCGAGGGCGGUGAUUGGCUAACUAGGGCUAAGGGCGGGCUGACCUCUGCUCCGCAGCGCUCGUCAGCAGCCGGCCCCGCCCCCCGUCAUUUAAAGGAGGCCUCGGGAUUGGCCGCCCGGCUCCCGCGAAGGGGCGGAGUCGGAGGCAACGCACACUCGCGCGUGCGUGAGCUGGCGCGCCAGAAAGGGCCCGGUCGCGCCGAGGCUCGAGCGGCCGUCGCCAUUUUGUAGGGUUGUCUUCUGACGCGGGAGCCGCCGCCACCGCCGCCCGCCGCCCGGAGGCUCUUGUCCAGAAUGGUGAAGCUGUUCAUCGGAAACCUGCCCCGGGAGGCCACGGAGCAGGAGAUCCGCUCCCUGUUCGAGCAGUACGGGAAGGUGCUGGAAUGUGACAUCAUCAAGAACUACGGCUUCGUGCACAUCGAGGACAAGACGGCGGCCGAGGAUGCCAUCCGCAACCUGCACCACUACAAGCUGCACGGCGUGAACAUCAACGUGGAAGCCAGCAAGAACAAGAGCAAAGCUUCGACCAAGCUACACGUGGGCAACAUCAGUCCCACGUGCACCAACCAGGAGCUGCGGGCCAAGUUCGAGGAGUACGGUCCAGUCAUCGAGUGUGACAUCGUGAAAGAUUAUGCCUUUGUGCACAUGGAGCGGGCGGAGGACGCGGUGGAGGCCAUCAGGGGCCUUGAUAACACAGAGUUUCAAGGCAAACGGAUGCACGUGCAGUUGUCCACCAGCCGGCUCAGGACUGCGCCCGGGAUGGGAGACCAGAGCGGCUGCUAUCGGUGCGGGAAAGAGGGGCACUGGUCCAAAGAGUGCCCGGUAGACCGGACGGGCCGCGUGGCGGACUUCACUGAGCAGUACAACGAACAGUACGGAGCAGUGCGCACACCGUACACCAUGGGCUACGGGGAGUCCGUGUACUACAACGACGCCUACGGAGCGCUGGACUACUAUAAGCGCUACCGCGUCCGCUCUUAUGAGGCGGUCGCGGCAGCUGCUGCAGCCUCUGCGUACAACUACGCAGAGCAGACCAUGUCCCACCUGCCUCAAGUGCAGAGCACGGGCGUGACCAGCCACCUCAGCUCCACCUCCGUGGAUCCCUACGACAGACACCUGCUUCAGAACUCGGGAGCUGCUGCUGCCACCUCAGCUGCCAUGGCCGCCGCCGCCGCCGCCACCUCUUCCUCCUAUUACGGAAGGGACAGAAGCCCGCUGCGCCGCGCUGCCGCUGUGCUGCCCACGGUCGGAGAGGGCUACGGUUACGGGCCCGAGAGCGAGCUGUCCCAGGCGUCGGCGGCCGCGCGCAAUUCCCUGUACGACAUGGCCCGGUACGAGCGGGAGCAGUACGCGGACCGGGCGCGGUAUUCAGCCUUUUAAAAACUGGAGUCCCAGGAGCCCGAUGUUAAUGAGGCUGCCAGGAGGAAACACUCCAGAACAGUUGGGGAGCCAAAUUCGGGUCUCACCCUAGCAGAGCUGAUCCAAGACCGUCACAGCUUUUGAAGUCGAUUGGCACAGAUCAAGACCAAGAUUUGGCCCUUUGUAAUAAGUAGAGGAACUUGGUGUAGGAUAAUUGCGGACUGAACCCUCGGGCUGCGGUCAUGUAUGACAACUUGCUCCGCGCGGUCCCCUUUGCCGGGAUGUUUCCAUUGCUUCAUGUUUCAGUAAACAAAGGAGUUUGUGACCAA